UUACAAUUAACAACACAAGAUCCUUAAUUUCAACUAUCAAUACCAUGGCUUCUUUCUUAGUACCAUUCAAACUCAUCUUCUUUCUCAUCUUUGUAUUUUUCCAUGCUUGCUCUUCGUCAUCCUCCAUAACUUCCAUGGAAGCUGAAACUCUUUUAAAAUGGAAAGCUAGCCUCGACAACACCACACAAACUUUGCUCUCUUCUUUGUGGGUCGGAAGUAGCCACUGCAAUUGGGUUGGAAUCACUUGCAACAAUGCCGGAAGCGUCACCAACCUAAGCCUUGCAGAGUAUGAUUUGAGAUUGAGAGGUACACUUCACCAUCUCAACUUCCUUUCCUUGCCUAACUUGAUUAGGCUUCACCUUCGAAACAACUCAUUGUAUGGGCCCAUUCCUUCGCACAUUGGAAAUCUUUCCAAACUCAUUUUCCUUGACUUGUCAUACAAUUACUUCUCAGGACAUAUCCCUUCUGAAAUUUGCUUGUUGAGAAGUCUUCAAUUGAUCUCCUUAAUAGUAAAUAAGAUUAGUGGUCCCAUUCCACAAGAAAUAGGAAAUCUGAGUACAGUUUCUAAUAUCUAUUUCUAUGGUAACUAUCUAAGUGGUCCAAUCCCUGCCUCUAUAGGAAGAUUGCAUAAUUUAUACAGGCUUGACCUUAAUAGCAACCGACUCAAUGGUUUUAUACCUAAACAAGUUGGAACGUUGAGGUCACUUUAUAUGUUGGACUUGUCAGGAAACAGCUUAACUGGUCCUAUACCGGCAUCUAUAGGGAACUUAAGUAACUUGGUGUAUCUUUUCUUGUAUAAUAAUCAUCUUUCUGGUUCUAUUCCCAAUGAAAUUGGAGGGCUCAAAUCACUUUUCACGAUCCAGUUCUCGAAAAAUAAUCUCAGUGGCGUCAUCCCUAAGUCCAUAGGAAACUUGACCAAGUUAUUUAGUGUCAUGCUUGAUACAAAUGCCAUUUCUGGUUCAAUACCUCGAGAGAUAGGAAUGCUUAAAUCUCUCAACUUUUUGCUUUUGGCUGCUAACUCAAUCUCUGGUCCAAUCCCUACUUCCAUGGGAAACUUGACCAACUUAACUACUCUGAGCCUUUCUCACAAUAUGUUUUUUGGAUUGAUACCUAAAGAGGUAGGGAUGCUUAAAUCUCUCAGUGAAUUGGAUCUGUCUAGUAACACAUUCUCUGGACAAAUCCCUACUUCCAUAGGAAACUUGAGCAGCUUAUCAGGACUUUUCCUAGGUGAAAAUAGUUUGUCAGGCCCCAUUCCUCCAAUAUACAAUAAUCUUACUGAUCUCCAAUUAUCAGACAACCAUCUCACUGGUCCAUUACCAGAAAAUUUAUGCCUCGGUGGAGUACUCACUCGACUUGCAGUGAUCAACAACAAUUUGUCAGGUCCUAUCCCAUCAAGUUUGAGAAACUGCAAAAGCUUAAUCAGAGUUAGGGUGGAUGGAAACCAUUUGACAGGAAAUAUAUCAGAAGUUUUUGGUAUAUAUCCACAUUUGAAUUAUGCUUCAUUAAGCAACAACAAUUUUUAUGGUGAACUUUCUCCAAAUUGGGGGCAAUGUCAUAAUCUAACAAGCCUACGGGUCUCCAACAAUAACAUUUCUGGAAAGAUUCCAUUCGAAUUGGGACAUGCAACCCAGUUACAAGAACUUGAUCUUUCUUCGAAUCAUCUAGUCGAUGAGAUUCCCAUGGAACUGGGAGCAUUGAAAAUGAUGACCCGUCUUUUGCUAAGUGGUAACGAAAUUUCAGGCAGAAUUCCUUCAGAGAUUGGACUUCUUUCAAAUCUAGAACAACUUAACUUGGCUUCAAACAAUUUAAGAGGGCCUAUUCCUGAUGAUCUUGGAAAUUGCUCGAAGUUAUUCAUUUUGAAUUUGAGCAAGAACAAUCUCGGAGAGAGCAUUCCAUCUUCAAUAAGCUACAUCGAUGCUCUUCAAAGUCUAGAUUUGAGUCAGAAUUCAUUUUGUGGAAAUAUCCCACAACAGUUCGGAAAGUUACAGUCCUUGGAAAUGUUGAACCUUUCUCACAAUAUGCUCAAUGGUUCCAUCCCAAAAGCUUUCAAUGAUUUACAUGGGUUAAGAUUUGUGAAUAUAUCUCACAAUCAAUUAGAAGGCCCUAUUCCAGACCUUAAGGCAUUUCACGAGGCAUCAUUCAAUGCCUUAAGGAACAAUAAAGGCCUAUGUGGUAACGCCACUGGACUAAUGCCUUGCGUUCUUCCUUCUCGAGACAACCAUGGUCAUAAAAAAAGCACCAAACUGAUCAUUUUAUUUGUGCUUCCACUGUUUGGUGGUCUAUUGUUUUUGUUGUUUAUAUUGGUUACAAGUUUCCUUACUUUUUGCAAGAAAACACCAACAAAAAAAUCCGAGCCAAUGGAGGAACAAGAUGGUGAUAUUUUCACUAUAUUGGGAUUUAAUGGAAGAAUACUCCAUGACAGCAUCAUUGAAGCCACUGAAGAUUUCAGCUCUGACUAUUGCAUUGGUUCAGGAGGAUACGGAAGUGUUUAUAAAGCUGCAUUACCAACUGGCCAAGUGGUUGCUGUGAAGAAACUUCACCAGUCUGAAGACAGCAUACUCAUUAACAACUUGAAAGCCUUUGAAAGCGAGAUUAUUGCUUUAUUAGAAUUAAGGCAUCGUAACAUUGUACAGAUGUAUGGUUUUUGUUCACACCCAAAGCAUUCUUUUCUGAUUUAUGAGUUCAUGGAAAGGGGAAGCUUGAGAAUGGUCUUAAGCAACAAUGAACAAGCAAAGGAAUUGGAUUGGAAGAAGAGGCUAAAUGUUGUUAAAGGAUUGGCUAAUACUUUGUCUUAUAUGCACCAUGAGCAUUCACAACCUAUAGUUCAUCGAGACAUUUCCAGCAACAAUGUUCUCUUGGAUUUGGACUAUGAAGCUCGUGUCUCUGAUUUCGGCACUGCUAGGAUUUUAAAGCCUGACUCCUCCAAUUGGACUUCACUUGCGGGCACCUACGGGUAUAUAGCUCCAGAGUUGGCUUAUACAAUGCGAGUAGAUGAGAAAUGUGAUGUCUACAGUUUUGGGGUGCUAACGAUAGAAGUUCUCAUGGGGACGCAUCCCGGCGAUCUUCUUUCAUAUUUGUCAUCAUCUGCAUCGGCAUCGGCAUUGCCAUUUAUGUCAAAUGACCAACAUGUUUUACUUAAAGAUGUGAUAGAUCAACGUCUCUCACCACCAGAAAUUGAAGCUGCAGAGGGCGUAGUCUCUACUAUAAAGAUAGCAUUUGCAUGCCUGAAUGGCAAUCCCCAAUAUCGGCCAACCAUGAAACAAGUUGCUCAAGCCCUUUCUCGUCAAUCCCUUCCAUUGUCAAGUCCUUUCUCGACCGUAAAAUUGGGAGAGUUGUUGGGUCAUGUAACUUGCAAUGGCUGAGUAAGGUGCUACAAUUUGGGUCAUAUUCCCAAGUAAGGUCUGACUCGGGUCCGUAGCAGGAUUGCAAGUAUUUUCCUAGUUUCACUACUUGGAAUAGAAGAAAGCAUUGAAGUUGUUGAGUACUUUUCAUGUUUGUUAAGUUACUGCUUGUACUCAAUUCCCGUUUUAGUGUUUUUGAGGCUGGCAUGGCUGAGGCUAUAGAAUUGUUCGGGAGGCUUUAUCCUGGCUUUAUUCGGUUUAGUGAUUGCUGAUUGUCGGCAAUUGCAAACUGAUUUUCAGCACCUUUCGUUCUCUUGGAUUCAAAGAGCACCAAUUGGCACGAAUAGCCCAUAUCUUUUUUCUUAGCUUGUUUACAGAUGUUACUGCUCCAUCUUGUUUAUGUUCUUUUCUUUUCCGCUGAUGCUUAUGGUGUAACCUCUGAUGAAGGGCUUUAGGUAAUGGGUGUAUGGGGUUUAGCCUAUUGGCUAGGGGUUAGUUAAGUCCUUUCUCAUUGAUGGUUUUUUGUUUUGUUGAUGUUUGAAUAUGUGAGUUCAAUUUCAAAAAUGGUAAUGAAAAAUAAAAUAAAAUUGCUUUAGCCUUUCAAAAUAA